CCAUUGUUUACAGCAUGGAGCUAAGGGAAAAGAAUUCUAUGAAAUUCUUCUUAUCUUUCAUCUUCCUACAUGAUAGAAGACUCUGAAUUACAUACCAUAUUUCUACAAUGCUGCAACGAAUCUCAGGCCCUUAUGUUCCAAGGCUGGCCUCAGAUGGUCAUGUUAGCCAUAGCUUAGGUGGGGAACAGACCCACAGCUCCAAUGGACCCUGAUUUAACCCCUAAGAUUCAUCCUCACCUGAACAUGUGACCCCAAAAUAAAGAAAUUAGUCUUACCUUGGCUACCUCUAUGCACAGCUGAGAUUUAUCCUGUUUACUCAUGGGGCCCUGCAUACUUCCUGAGACGUCCAUGAGGAAGACAAAUUCUCCACAGAGCUCUAAAUGGUUUUAGUGAGCCAAGCUGCCUCUUGUCAUUGGUUUCUUUGUAUGGAUCAAGUCAUCUUGACCAAACAUGUGAUCUGGAAAACAACAUUUGAGCAUCCCUUCUGGAAGGAAUUCACAAGAUUAAUAAAGACUGCCCCUGAUGUCCCCCUGUGGCCUGCAGAGUUGGUCACAGGAAACAGAUGAGGAAAUAUGCAUAGGAGCCAAUGGAACUUCUUGGAAAGAAAGGGACUGAGAUCUCAAUCCUUACCCUUUAAGAUCCAAAAUUAUAAAACUUUCUCUGGUGGAUUAAAAUGAUCCUGAAUGAAGACCAAGUCACUGUUGUGGGAGUAUUUCAUGGAGGAACUCACCAGAAGGAAAGGACAAAACCAGUAUUCAAUGGGACUCAAGGGGAAGUUGGAUUGGAUUCUCUCAAUGCCAUGCUGGGAACUGAUGGUGGCAACCACACUGAGUGUGUAAGGCAGGUCCUCGAAAGGGACUACAGGAGUCUUCCUAUUAAGGAGAUCCAUUAUCCUCCCUUAGCUCUACCUACACCUAUCAUUUACAUUUUUUUACUCCAGCAAGAGACACUUAUCAGCUACCAGCAAUUAUGAAGAUGUUCAAGGCUCAUCCUGUCUUUCCUAGAUCAGGAAUUAGAUACUCUAUGUUUAGAUGAAUGUCUAAAUUCCUUUCAUUAGUCAUCGACUCUCAUGCCAAAAUCAGGCUAACUACAACCAUU
rnacentral:lncRNA from 1 species